rnacentral:rRNA from 1 species
GACGGAAGGUGCAAGCGUUGCUCGGAAUCACUGGGCGUAAAGGGCGCGUAGGCGGCUUGAUAAGCGUGCGGUGAAAGCCCGGGGCUCAACCCCGGGUCGGCCGUGCGAACUGUCGAGCUGGAGCACUGUAGAGGCAGGUGGAAUUCCGGGUGUAGCGGUGGAAUGCGUAGAGAUCCGGAAGAACACCGGUGGCGAAGGCGGCAUCCUGGACCGGCAUUGACGCUGAGGCGCGAAAGCCAGGGGAGCAAACGGG